rnacentral:lncRNA from 1 species
UGAGCAAAAACGAGAGUUGAGAAGGAAAACCAAAAUAUCAUCCCAACUUGGUUGCGUUUGGGUCCUCGGAACUCUUUGUUUACACGAUGUUCGAGUACCCAAACCACAAAACCAAUGAAAACGAAGAAUGCUCCAGUUGUUAUCCAAAGCUCGCUCUUUAGAGGUUUCAAGAAAAUCCAAGCAUCCCUCCUAUCAUCAUCCCUUACCGGCACAACUACAGAAAUACCUGACUCUAUAAAAGGUAAUGUGAAAUCCACAUACUCUGACCGGCUCGCUAAAAUGGUCACAUCACCUACAACUGCAUCAUAGUCCUGGCUCAAGCAAACAUUGAUUAUUCCAGUAUGUAUAGUUGAUUGUAAUAGCAGAAAAUAGAUAUCGAAGUCCCAAAAAGGGCCAUGUUAGUAAGAUAUAGAGCCAAAGAGGUUUAUUGGAACAGAGAUUAUAUAUUACCUGAGAGGUGAUCUUGUGAACAAGAUCAUCAUAGUCUGGAAGAGUGAGGGGAUCUUGUAUUGGAAAUGGAAUAAAUUCGUAAGGGAGAGCAUAUGGCAAAGAUAGGAUGACUUCUUUGAAGACAUCUGCACAGAAACCAGUUGCUGUUACUGCUUGUGUUUUUGAAUCUCUUUCCACUUUAAUGAGUUGCUCCAGCCCUCCUUUGAGAGGAACUCCAACCCUUAACUUCUUCCCACUUGUGGGCAUUUCCCAGCCUCUUGGAACAAUAGUUGAUUCACCAGGCCAAAAAAUGGCUCCUAGUUGCUUAUUAUUACACUUAACUGCUGUUUUACCAUUCAUCUUCAGUUUACACGAAAUGCCAUCCCUCUUCGUCCAAAAUCCAAUGUUUUUCUCUCCUUUCCCAAUUAUAUUCACAAUCUGAUAUGGGAUUGGCUGCAGUUCUCCAUUGAUGAUACGGAAAUCACCACUUAAUCCUUGUUUUAGCACUGUGUUUCGCAUAGAGUCAAUGAGCAGAGAUCCCACUGCUGACGUUCCAAGUGCAUCUAAGUCUGUUAAGUUCUCUCUGGUGUCUGGUUUCUUUAAUUUUGGGAUAGCAGUAGUGCCUACUUUAUCUACUGCUUCUGCUAAUGAGGUGAUGCUAUCGUAUGCCCAUAGCCCAAAAACAUUGAGUUCUAUUUGGUCCAUGUCUGGAUACUCUUGACGGAAUCUCUUUCUCCAUCUCUUUGUGUAGUUGUUAAGCUGAUUUGAUCUUGGAAUGUAAGGUUUUAUACCAAGAACACCUUGCAUUGAUGACUCGAUCACUGAAUGAUCUACCAAGUCCAGAAGACUCGUUAGCACAUCUGUGAUGAUCCAUGCAUAUCCACUGCUCAUCAUCCCUGCUUCUUUGGCCUUGAGAAAAAGGCGGGAGGCAAGAUAUGGACGCAAGUGCACGACGAACACCCUUGUUUGCUUUGUAUUCAUAUUGUAUAACUCCUUGAGAAUCUGAUCAUCAUUGGCUGACGGAGAAAUAACACUUCUAUAGGAGACUAAAGUGCUGAUUUCCAGUAAGGCAUCAGUCAAAUGUGGAACUAUCCCGAACCCAUAGGGGCUAUCCUCAUAGAUGACCACAACCUCCCUCCAAUCAAAGUUUUUAACAAGUGCUGCAAUGGCCUUAGUCUGGCUGGAAGAAGGAAGUGCUGCUCUGAUGAAGAAGGGAUUUUCCUUGACUGUAAGUAAAGGACUUGUUGCUGGAGAAAUGAUUGGGACUUUUACUCUGUUCCCUAAGUCGAUCACAAAAUCAGUUUGUGUAGACAUUUGUGGCCCAAAGAUAGCUUGUACUUGGACAUCCUUUAGCAAGUAUAUGGCUGCACAUACACAAUCAGACAAUAAGAAUUUACCCAAAGUAAGAGUUUAAUAGAAGUGAAUCAUGGAACUGAAUUUACCAGCAGAUGUUGCUUCAACAUCAUCUUUCUUGGAAUCCUUGAUAUGAGGAACUAUCCUUAUGGCACCGCGACUAGCGUUGGCAUGAUAAUCUUCAAGUGCUAGUAAGAUAGAUAUGUGCAUUACUUUUCCCACAUCUGUUUCCAGAUCAAGAAUUAUACCCACAUCCACCUUUACAGCACUAGUGUUAUUAUCUUCACCUCUUAUUCGAACCACAUAGUGGUAAAAGCUAAUGAUGGAGAUAAGUUGAAAUGAAAAGAAUUAGAAAAGUGGCAUCUUGGAUUAUGCAUUUGAAAAAACUCUGGUAGCAAGUAGUCUGAGAGAUGGGCAACAAGCAGUUGUGCUUGUGCAAGAUAACCACACAUUCAGAAUGACAAUUUUCCUAUAAUUAAUAAGACCAAACUCCAUAAAUGAAGAAAGAAAAGUCAAAGAACAAAUGGUUGAAAAUCAAGUAUUCGUUUGAUUAUUGAAAGUGAGGACUUUUCACAUAUGCUACAACCGCACAGCUAGUAAGCAUAUUACCCCUCAGGUUUGACUAAAUAAAAAUUUGACAAAAUUGAUUGGUACUCAUUCCCCAACACCCAAUUACUUUUUGUGUGUACUAUCUAGAGGAUAUAUUCAAGGGAACUUACAUGAAUUCAACUAAUUUAGGAGUUAAUUACUUAAAUACAUUGUAGUUUGCAAUAUUACGUAUUUUACUAGAUUUUGGUAUGUCCAGAUACAUUCAGAUACAUAUAUGUGAGGUUACUUAGGAUCAAAAUUAGGUGUAAUUUGCUCUAGAUGCAUUGUAUCUAAGUGACUUUGCAUGUAUCUGGGAUACAUAACAAAUCUCGCUCGCCUCUCUCCCAUCUCUCACUCUCCUAUGUAUCUGAUAUUCCAUAUACAUGUGAAUCACACCAGAUACAUACACAUAAAUGUAUCUUAUGUGUAUAUAGUGUGAUUCGCAUGUAUCUGGGAUACAUAACAAAUCCCGCUUGCCUCUUUCCUCAUCUCGUUCCCCUAUCUUCCUAUUUUUGUGUAUCUGAUGGCAAAAAUUCAUGUAGCCAAAUGUAUUUUCCUCAAUAUAUGAUAGGAAACUCUUAAUUAGUGAUAGUAUACGAAAUAUUUUAAAAGUAUAGAAUAUAAUAGUAUAUAUGAUAGUGAAGUAUGUCUAAUGAUAUAGUUUUUCUGUAUUGAAAGGACUUCCCAAAUUUUGGCUGAGGCAUAAAAAGUUGACAAAUUUAGCUCAGUUACAAAUUCCACAAUUAAACCAAUAAGUAGAAGAGACCAUUGUUUUCCAACUUGGACAAGGCUAGAUACGACUAGUAAUCUUUAGUUUACGCGUUUUCAGUUACUAGUCUUUGGACACGUGCGUUGCACGUAUAUCCCAUAUUAUAUGGUUGCAUAAUAUAUGUCUAUAGUUACAAAUAUAUGUAUAAAAAAAAAUUGAUUGUGAUAUAAAUUGGAAAACAUGUAUAAGAUAAGAAAUCAAAACAGAUACCCUCAAAUUUCAAACUAUAAGCAUAAUAAGAAUAUGUAUUUCUAAUGAGUUUAAUCAAUCAUACCUUGCAAUAAUCUCUGCAAUUCAUUGAGAAACUUUCAAUCCAUACAUCAACAUUCAAUCGUGUAUAUAUAAAGAAAACUUGAAAUGCAUAACAACAAUUAUAUCUAUAUUUUUUAAAACACUAUAAAGUCAUUUUUUCUUUUUGCAUUAUAAUAUGGAUUGCACACAAUUUCUAUUAAAAAAAAGAAAGACAAAAUUAGGAAAAAUCGUAUCAAUAAAUUGGAAUGAAAAAUGUAAAAUUGUAAUAAGAGGAAGAGAAGAAAAAUACAGUAGAAUAUAUUACCUAACCAUGAAUAAGGAAGUAUGUUGAGUAAAAGAAGAGUAAUGCAAAAGUGUGAACUGAUAUAUGGAGGAAAUUGACAAAUAUAAUAAUCUAUAUUGAAUAAUGAAAAACAACUCUUCAAUUUCUGCAAAAAUUUUAUAACUACGAGCUCAAAAUAAUAUAAAUUUAUUAAUUUAAUAAAUGACAUAAAUAAAUAAAUAACAUAUAUUGUGUGUAUGUGUAGUUAAUGGGGUAGUGAAAAAGACUCUUUCUGAAAUUAUUUUUAUCUCUUUAAAGUAAUUUUGAACUUUUGAUAUUAGUGCUAUAGAAAAUCAUAUAAAGUCAUAAGCCACUGCAAGUUUUUAUAGUAAUUAUCUUAUUAAAUUAUAUACCUAUUAUUAUUUUUAAUUAUUUAUAAUCAUUCCGAAAAUGUAUAAAUUAAUUUUGAAAAGCUUGUAAAAUGAGAAAUUAUUAUUUCUUAUCAUUAUUUUAGCUAUUAUUAACAUUUAGUAUGACAACAUUUUAAAAAAGCAGCUUCCUUUAAAUAUUAAUUGUUUCUAAAUUAACAUAGCCAAGAAUUUAAAAUGUUGUGACGUUUUGUUUAUCUAAACACGCAGAAUUUUGUUUUUGAACCUGGAACAUGUAAUUAAGCCUUGGGUGAAUUAUAAUUUUAUUUUUACUAUUUAAUUAAUUAAAUAAUUUGUAACAUUUUAAUAUAAUGAAGGGGUAAAAUGGUAACUCAACUUUAAAGGUUGGAGCUUCCCACUUUUAGUAAUAUAUGAUAAAUUGGUCAGUAGUAGUAACCUAGUUUAAUUUGAUAUAAUAACAUUCAUGACAAAAUAAAUUAAAUAUGGCUAAUUAAGAAAAUAUAAUUAAAUAUGAUUAUCUUUAAUGUUAUUUAAAUUUGUAGGCGAUUUUUUUUGUAUUUUAAAAUUAAAAAAAGGCCAAAAAACCCACAAAAAGAGAUAAAUAGGAUUGAAGCCCUUAGAGAGCGUCACCUCACCGUUUUCAUAUUCAACUUUAUUAUUAUAUAUGGAUUUAGAUUUUUGCACAACCUUAAAUUUAAGGACACAUUUAGAUAUUAUAUCAAACAUUCAUUUAUUUGAAGUUGAAAUUACAUUUUACAUGAAAAUUGGAUAUUCCAUAUUCACAUUGAGUAUGAAUCUUUUUGUUUUUUUUACAAAAUUCAAAAUAAAAAAAUACAAAACAUAAACUUAUAGAUCAAAUUUUACAUUUGACAUUUGAAAGUUUUACUUUUCAUUAAACGUUUUGUUAUAGAAUUUGGAAUCGCCCUUUGAAAUUAGUAUUUAUAAAUGAAAAUAUUGAUCUAGUCCUGUUGAAAUUGUGUCUGGCCUAGUACUUUUUCUUAUUAGAGUGAUUAUUGAAUUAGGUUUAAUAUCAAUUUUCUUAAUUAGUUUUGUCAAUUGGCAGUGCUAAGAAGAUGGGAAUUUACGUUAUAUUAAAUUAUCUUUACAUUAAUAAAAAAAGAAAUUGUUGUUAGUAUUAUUUGUAAUAUAAUUAAACAAAAAUAACAAUGGGAAGAAAAUAAUAAGUAAAGAUUACACGUUGUAUUAAAAUAAUAAGUAUUAAAAAUUAUGAUAAAUUUUAUAAUAGUCAUAACAGGAAUUUACGCAAUAAUUACUAUAUUAGAAUACUAGAAAAAUUGAUAAGUUCCUCGACAUCUAAUCAUUGAUUAAAAUUUAAAUUAUUAUUUUCUUCUGCGAAAGUUUAAGAGAUUAAAUUAAUGUUUUAAAAAAUAAUAUUAAUUAUUUUCAAUGAUUAAUAAGAAAAUGUAUAUAGCAAGUACAUGUAUUAUUAUUACAUUAUUUAUAUCCACUCUAUAUUAAAUCAUUUUUCUAUUAUAGUUUGACGCAAAUUUCAGAAUGUAAAGAAUGUUUUGGAUUCGAAAAAUAAAUAUUCAAAAUAUACUAACAUGUCAUUUAAUCUUAUGAUAUUUUACAUUUCAUGUGAAAAAAAAUUAAAUAUUAAUUUUUUAAUAUGAAAAAUAUUAAUUUAUUAAUACAACAUAAAAGUAAUAAAGGACAAUAUAUAAAAAUAUUUGAAGUAUUUGAUAUUUUAUUAAAUUAAAAUAAUUCUAAAUUAAUAUAUAGCCGCGCAACGCGCGGGUACGUAUACUAGUGAAGAACAAUAAUAAAGAAGAAGACAAUUGAGUUAAUAUUUAUUUUUUCCAAGUUUAAUUUAACACAUGACCAGUUUUUAUUGGUCAGUGCUGUCAAAAAGUUGCACCCACGCGCCUAAAAUAGGUGAAAUCACGGACUCAGCCACGUAGGCCAAAAAGUGGUAAACAAUUAACUAAAAAAUAAGUUCAGGGGGGUAAUAGGACUUUAGUAAAGGUUAGGUGUGUCUCAGGGAUUUUGGGCAUAGGCUGGGGGGGUACUUAUGCAUUUUCCCUUAUGUUAAAUAUACCAAAAUGUUUUUUAAUCUUAUGACUUUAAACAUGUCACGUGAAAAACUGAAAUUAAAGUGUUGCCAAAAAAAGAAGGGUCAUUUUUUUUAAACAGACUAAACAGAAAAGUAGAUCUUUUUAAAACGGAAGGGAAGUAAUUGUUAAUGCAAGAGGAAGCUGCUUGAAAAGUUACGUAUAUGAUGUUGAAGUUGUCUAACAUGCAAUGCUGGUCCUAUAAUCUUUCAUUAUUUAUUAUCCAUGACUAUGGGUGGAUAAUAAUAGUUAUCUGCUAUGAUCAUAUAUACCUAGGGGUGGACAUAUUACUUAGAAAACUUAUGUUAGGUAAUUUUGAUUUCUAAAAAUACUAUAUGGUGUAUGCUAUUUGCAGAUGAUAGUCCUAAUCGACCAGACUCGUAAUAGAGUUAAUGUUAAGCUAGAGAAGAUAAUAAUGGCUCCCUUCUCAAAUAUUUCAUUGGUAGAAAUUUGCCUUCCAGAAUUUCAUAAUUGCAUCUGAUCCUUUCUGAUAACUCAAAGGGCAUCUUAAAUUGGUGCGGAAGUUUAAUUUUGACAUGGAACGCAAAUAUAUGCGGAAAAUUAGUAAUUCAAUAAAUAUUUAAUUAUGAAUGCAUAUUACAAAAGUGCAAGGAAUUCAAUUGUAAGAUGUUGAAGGUUAAACCCAUAAAUUCUAAAUACUAGAGACGCCUCUUAAUGCAAAUAUAAUAUGGUUUAACUAUUUUAAACCUGGCUCAUCUCUCUUAAGUUGUCCCUGUAAUGUUUUCAUGAACUGGAGUUCCAGGUUCUGUUGUAGAGAACCCUUCAAGUGCAGGGGAUGCUCCUAAGCCGUCGGAAAUUCUGAUUUCUGGGCUUUGCAAAGGAAGGUGGGGCAAUAUUUCAGUAGAGGCUUCACUUUCUGCAAACAGCAUAGCUGUUUGGAUUUCAUUGCCUUCAGAUGGCUCUUCUGACAUAGAAUUAGAGUUGUCUCUCUCUUUAUCAAAGGCAUUUGCUAUUGCAGAAAGCUUUUGCCAUACUGAAUCAUCAGUGGCUAAGAUUUCUCUAUUCUGAUAAAGGAAGAUGAGGAAGAAUAGGAGAAGAGCGGAGCCCGCUGAUACACCAGCUAUGAGGAAAAGGCCCUUAAAACUAUCGAGCAUGAGGCUAGAUGCUAUAGCCAUUCCAUCUUGCUUUGGACAAUCUGUUUCAUUCCCAAACCAUUUCUGUAUUAUGUUAUUCAUAAACUCUCCUUCCAUCACCUGCAAGACUGCUCUUGAGACGUCAGGUACCAAAGGAGAUCCUUUUGGAAAUGCCUGCCAGAAGUUGGGGGAAAAUAAAAGAUUAAAUUAUUGAGUAGAACAUAAACCAUUCUAAACAAAUGUAAACACGUUCUGAAACAUCACUGGAGUGCAACAUUCUUACGAAUCCAAAGCCAGCAGCCUUGUAUGUCGGACCGACCAUAAUAUACUUCCUGCAAUACUUGUUGAGGAAGAGUCUGAGAUAAGGUAGUUCAUCAACAAUUGCACCAACACCUCCAUUUUUACUUCCUCUUGAGAGGGCAUUACUAUACUCUUCCAAUGUGCUAUAACUUAUGAACUUGGAACUGUCAAACUUCAUGUGCUUCAAGACAUCUUUGACAAAGGAACCUUCUUGGUACCCAACAUAUUCUCCAUUCUUGAUCAGAUCAUUGAGGUCAGUUAUAGAAGGUUGGAGCUGUUGCACUGUCAACAUAGAUGUUAAGUUGGCUGUAUAACUUGAUGUCAGCACCAGAACCACGAAAACCCACACAAUCAGCACAAAUCUUGUGAAGUUACUAGUAACCCUCUCUCCUGAAACAACCAGCCAUAUAUAUGAUUUGUUGAGAAACAAGGAUAAAUCCUAAAGCUUUUUGUAUAUAAUUUGCUUUGUGUUAGAGACUUACUAUGAGCAAAAACGAGAGUUGAGAAGGAAAACCAGAAUAUCAUCCCAACUUGCUUGUGUUUGGGUCCUCGAAACUCUUUGUUUACACGAUGUUCAAGUACCCAAACCACAAAACCAAUGAAGAUGAAGAAUCCUCCUGUUGUUAUCCAAAGCUCGCUCUUUAGAGGUUUCAAGAAAAUCCAAGCAUUCUUUCUAUCAUCAUUCUUUACCGACACAACAGCAGAAAUACCGGACUCUGAAAAAGGUAAUGUGAAAUCCACAUACUUGGCUCGGCUCGCUAAAAUGGUCACAUCACCUACAACUGCAUCAU